rnacentral:lncRNA from 1 species
UUAAAUUGAAAGAAUCCUGAAAUUAGGGAUUUAUGGGGAAAUUGAAGAAUUAAACUGAGUUUAUAGUAAGAAUUAAGAGAGAAUAUAGAGUUAGAAUGGAAAAAUAAAAUUAGUAUUGAUAAGGGAUUAAAUUAGAAUUUGGGUAAAGUUUAGGUAUACGGGAAAUAUUUUAAUGAAAUUGAGUAUUAAUGAUUUUUAAUUGUUUAAUUACGUAGCUAAUGUCGUGUACGAGUCAUUGUCCGAGAAAGGAAAGGAGAAUGUGGACAAGGAUUGACUCGGGAGAAAUUUCGGUUAGUAUUACCAUAAUUCGAAUUUAAUUAUUAAUUGUUAAAAUUAAAUUAAUAUACACGAUAAGCAAAUUGAGGUGAGUUUCAUAAUUGAAUUGAAUAAUAUAUAUAUAUACGUAUUGAUAUUGAAUUUAUUGACAGUAAUUAUUGAAUUUUGAAUAAUAUGUUAGUAAAUAAAAAUAAGGAGAAUAUCAAUAUUUAAUUGAAUGAAUUAAAAUAUGAAUUGAAUAAAUGAGAUAUUAAAUUGAGAUAUGUGAAUAUGUGAAUUGUGUAUUGAUUGAAAAGUGGUUUGAAUUGAAUCGAAGUAUGAUUAUAUGUGAAUAUCUGAAAUAUGUAUUGGUAUUGAAUUGUAUAUUGAUUUGAAAGUGGGAAGUGAAUCUGAGUUGAAUUGAGAUUAAAUCGAAAGUGAAUUUGAAAUAGAAAAAUGUAUUGAAACAAAUGGUGAUUAAAUGGGAAUGAUUUGAAUUGAAAGUAUGAGAAAGUGAUUGAAUUGAAAUGUGAUUCGGAAACCCUAUUAACUAGUCGGGCUGAGUCGGAUAUAGUUGGCAUGCCAUAGGAUUGGAAGAGUUCAGGGAUACUUCGACCUUGAGUCGAUGAGACACUGGGUGUCAUACUAUUACUUCGGAUAGAUUCGAUGAGGUACUGGGUACCAACUUACUUCGGCUUGGCCGAUGAGACACUGGGUGUCAACUAUUGCUUCAAACUAUCCGAUGAGGCACUGGGUGCCAUUCUGGUGUGUUUGGUUGGAUCCGUGUAUCCGCCAAGGUCCGAGUCUUGUUAAUAAGGGUAAAUAAUUGAAAUGAGAAAAUUGAAUAAAUGUGAUUGAUUGAGCUAUGGGAAGAAACGAAAAAGUGAAGUUGUGAAUUGAUGUGUGAAUUGGAAAUCGAAAUAAGAGAUUUAAAGAUAUGAGCCCAAAGUUCAUGAUGUGAUAAAUAGUAAAUUUUGUUAUAUGGUAUUAGUGAGUACAAAUUGCAAUAGAAUUGAUACUAAAUAUAGUGAUAAAUUGAAUGAAUUUCAUAUGAACUGAAAUGAAUUAUUGGAAUGAGAUGUGAAAAAUCCAAUAAAAUUUAGAUAGUGAAAUAAGGUAUGAAUACCAUUAAAUAUAAGAUUGAAAUAUUGCUUAUUGUUAUUAAUGAUCGAGUUGAUUUAAAGUAUGAGACAAUUAGUGAAUAAUUGUAGACAUAAAUUAAAUGUAUAUAAUUUAUCAAUUAAUGUUAUUAAUUUGAAUUAUGGUAAUACCACUGAGUAUACCCAAACUCAGCGUACGGUUGUUUCUGUGCGCAGGAUUGUAGAAAACCAGUGUUCGAUCCAGCAUCCAAAGUAAUCCCGACCUCAGAGACAUUUUAGUGAUGUACCUUUCUGUUGAUAAUGUGGCAUGUACCUAAGUAAUGUACAUACCUAGGUAAUGUAUAUACCUAAGUGAUGUAUAGGGAUUAGUCAUUUUGAAUGUUGUAUCUAUGAUAUUGCUAAAGAAAGAUGUGUGAGUAUGUGAUAAUGUUUGGCUUUUAAAAUGGUUAAGUAUGAAAAUCAAGAAAGGGAAAAUUUUGCAAAGAAACAGAAUUCAGACAGCAACAGCGACGUAACUUUGAAAAAUCACCUAAGAUAGUAUAAAAUGAAUUAUAGGGUGAAUGAUAUAUGAAAUUAAAUAUUAUUUAGUCUAUUUUUAUAGAAAAAUAACGGUUUAGCAAAAAGAAUUUUAUAUUUUAAGAUAUAUGAAUUUUAAUGAGACAGGGUCAGAUCUGUUUCUGGAGUCCUCUGUUCCGAGUUUAGAAAAUCACUAAAACUGGUACAAAAAUAAUUAUGAGUUUUAGUUUAUAUGUAUUGAAUCCUUAUUGAGUCUAUUUUCGUUAGAAACAAGUGGUAAUAUCAUGUGAAAAUACUAUAAUGAGAAAAAUUAUUUUUAGUGGCAAGAGGUCAGGACAGUCGAUUGAAGAAAUAGGGGAGACUUUAACUAAUAAACUGUACUAAUUUGCCAAAUCAAAAAUUCUGAAAAUUUUAUGGUAGAAAGAUAUAUG